AAGCGGUUAAAAUUGGACAGAACGAAAUCGGCAAGUAUUUUGGAUGCUGCUGCUACCAAGCAGUGAUGGAACUCUCAAUUGUUUGGAGCUGUUUUGCUACUUGAAUCAUCGAUGGCCCAUCUUCCCCCGAAAGAUUGGUGCAAUGUCAAAGUGAGUUGUAUUGAUCACAAAAAGCAUAAGAUGAAGGCUAAGGUUAAAGUUAG
rnacentral:misc_RNA from 1 species